CGGGAAGUAGCUCAGUUUGGUAGAGCACUUGGUUUGGGACCAAGGGGUCGCAGGUUCGAAUCCUGUCUUCCCGACCA
rnacentral:tRNA from 1 species